rnacentral:rRNA from 1 species
GACGAACCGUACGAACGUUAUUCGGAAUCACUGGGCUUAAAGGGUGCGUAGGCUGCGCAGCAAGUUGGGUGUGAAAUCCCUCGGCUUAACCGAGGAACUGCGCCCAAAACUGCUGUGCUCGAGGGAGAUAGAGGUGAGCGGAACUUAGGGUGGAGCGGUGAAAUGCGUUGAUAUCCUAAGGAACACCGGUGGCGAAAGCGGCUCACUGGAUCUCUUCUGACGCUGAGGCACGAAAGCUGGGGGAGCAAACAGG